rnacentral:rRNA from 1 species
GUCGAACGCUGGCGGCGUGCCUAAUACAUGCAAGUCGCACGCAGUUGCGAAUGGUUGAGUAAUGCGUAGGUAACUACCUAUUAGAGGGGGCUAACUCUUGGAAACGAUAGCUAAUACCGCAUACUAGUAGAUGGACCUGCGUGGUAUUAGCUAGUAGGUAGGGUAAUGGCCUCCAUAGGCAACGAUACAUAGCCGACCUGGAGAGGGGAUCUGCCACAAUGGGACGGAGGAACGGCCCAAACUCCCUCGGGGGGGAGCCGUAGGGAAACUUCGGGCAUGGGGGGAACCCUGGCCAGAGAACGGCGGGUGGGUGGAGAAGGUUUUCGGGUCGUAAAGGUCGGUUGAUAAGGAAGCGGUACUUAACCAGAAAGGGACGGCUAACUUCGUGCCAGCAGCCGCGGUAAUAC